GUUUGAUUAGCUCAGUGGUAGAGCAUCCGGUAGUUAUAUCGGCAGUCGUAGGUUCAAGUCCUACAUCAAACU
rnacentral:tRNA from 1 species